AGAUCGGCGGCGGACGGCUAACUCGCCAACCCGGUCAGGUCCGGAAGGAAGCAGCCGUAACGAGCUUCAAGCCGGGUCGCCUGCCGGUCUCCU
rnacentral:SRP_RNA from 1 species